AGUGAACGCUGGCGGUAGGCCUAACACAUGCAAGUCGAACGGCAGCACAGUAAGAGCUUGCUCUUACGGGUGGCGAGUGGCGGACGGGUGAGGAAUACAUCGGAAUCUACUUUUUCGUGGGGGAUAGCGUAGGGAAACUUACGCUAAUACCGCAUACGACCUACGGGUGAAAGCAGGGGAUCUUCGGACCUUGCGCGAUUGAAUGAGCCGAUGUCGGAUUAGCUAGUUGGCGGGGUAAAGGCCCACCAAGGCGACGAUCCGUAGCUGGUCUGAGCGGAUGAUCAGCCACACUGGAACUGAGACACGGUCCAGACUCCUGCGGGAGGCAGCAGUGGGGAAUAUUGGACAAUGGGCGCAAGCCUGAUCCAGCCAUACCGCGUGGGUGAAGAAGGCCUUCGGGUUGUAAAGCCCUUUUGUUGGGAAAGAAAAGCAGCAGGUUAAUACCCCGCUGUUCUGACGGUACCCAAAGAAUAAGCACCGGCUAACUUCGUG
rnacentral:rRNA from 1 species